AUUGAACGCUAGCGGGAUGCUUUACACAUGCAAGUCGAACGGCAGCGCGGACUUCGGUCUGGCUGCGAGUGGCGAACGGGUGAGUAAUGUAUCGGAACGUGCCCAGUAGCGGGGGAUAACUACGCGAAAGCGUAGCUAAUACCGCAUACGCCCUACGGGGGAAAGCAGGGGAUCGUAAGACCUUGCACUCUUGGAGCGGCCGAUAUCGGAUUAGCUAGUUGGUGAGGUAACGGCUCACCAAGGCGACGAUCCGUAGCUGGUUUGAGAGGACGACCAGCCACACUGGGACUGGGACACGGCCCAGACUCCUACGGGAGGCAGCAGUGGGGAAUUUUGGACAAUGGGGGCAACCCUGAUCCAGCCAUCCCGCGUGUGCGAUGAAGGCCUUCGGGUUGUAAAGCACUUUUGGCAGGAAAGAAACGUCGCGGGCUAAUACCCCGUGGAACUGACGGUACCUGCAGAAUAAGCACCGGCUAACUACGUG
rnacentral:rRNA from 1 species